rnacentral:tRNA from 1 species
GUGAGCGUAGCCGAGUGGUCAAGGCACCUGGUUGUGGCCCAGGAGAUCGCGGGUUCAAAUCCCGUCGCUCACCCCU